AGAGUUUGAUCCUGGCUCAGGACGAACGCUGGCGGCGUGCCUAAGACAUGCAAGUCGAGCGGAGCCUGAAGCUUCGGCUUCAGGCUUAGCGGCGGACGGGUGAGUAACACGUGGAUAACCUACCCUCAUCUCUGGGAUAACAGGCCGAAAGGCGUGCUAAUACCGGAUAAGCUCACGUUCCCGCAUGGGGAUGGGAGAAAAGGCGCUGCAAGGCGGUGGAUGAGGAGGGGUCCGCGGCCCAUUAGCUAGUUGGUGGGGUAAGGGCCCACCAAGGCGACGAUGGGUAGCCGGCCUGAGAGGGCGACCGGCCACACUGGGACUGAGACACGGCCCAGACUCCUACGGGAGGCAGCAGUCGGGAAUUUUGCACAAUGGCCGCAAGGCUGAUGCAGCAACGCCGCGUGAGCGAAGAAGGCCUUCGGGUUGUAAAGCUCUGUUGCCCGUGAAGAAGGUCCGCACCAGGAAAUGGGUGCGGAAUGACGGUAGCGGGCGAGGAAGCCCCGGCAAACUACGUGCCAGCAGCCGCGGUAAUACGUAGGGGGCGAGCGUUGUCCGGAAUUAUUGGGCGUAAAGGGCGUGUAGGCGGCCUGUUAAGUCAGGGGUGAAACGCCGCAGCUCAACUGCGGACCGGCCUCUGAAACUGAUGGGCUUGAGUGCUCUAGAGGGCAGUGGAAUUCCCGGUGUAGCAGUGAAAUGCGUAGAGAUCGGGAGGAACACCAGUGGCGAAGGCGGCUGCCUGGGGAGUAACUGACGCUGAGGCGCGAAAGCUAGGGGAGCAAACAGGAUUAGAUACCCUGGUAGUCCUAGCCGUAAACGAUGAGUGCUAUGUGUGAGGGGUAUCGACCCCCCUCGUGCAGCAGUUAACGCAAUAAGCACUCCGCCUGGGGAGUACGGCCGCAAGGUUGAAACUCAAAGGAAUUGACGG
rnacentral:rRNA from 1 species